GCUAAGCAGCAAGCAGGUGUGACAGCAAGACCUGGAAGCGGAUCAGUAAUGAGCCAAGAUUUCAAAAAAUGUUUAGUAUGUUGGCCACAUAAAUAAAUUCAAAAUUCCACCAAAAAAGGAGGGCAUAGCUUUCCUCCUCCUUGGAAUUUUGUAUCCUGUUCUGGGGAAAAUGGCAAGCUGAAAUUAAUCCACAGGAGAGCUAUCAUGAUCGUGGGGUCUGAGAACCACGAAAGAUGUCUGAACACCUGCAACCGAUGAAAACCCAAAACUAAGAUUCGGAGAGCCCUGUAAGCAGUGGUCACAUAUUUGAAGUGCUGACCUGGAAAGAAAGGAUUACACUUUUUAUUGCAUGCAAUUCUGGAGGGCAGAGAAAGGACCAAUGCGUAUAAAUUACAAAGAGACCCCUGAGAACUCCAUAUCGUGGUGUUCAGUGAUUGUGUAAAGUCCAAUCACCAAACUCUUCCAGGAGAGAGAAUGUGACUCAGUGCUAUCCCAGUAUGUAAUGAAGCUUCACCAAACUGGGUCAAGAGCAUUUAAAGUAAGUGUCAAGGAUCAUAUUUACAGGCUCAGAAGAAUCACAAAGACCAUGUGCAACAUACCUAUAGUUGGAUCAAAAUAGAAGAGUAAUGGCUUGUGAGGAAGUAAGUCACUUCUUGUGGAGGUUAUCCUAAUGCAAGGAAUAAAAAAGAAAGCAAUCGAUCUGGGAUCUGGCCUUUGGUUUUCUGAUUUAGGGUUCAGGGGUAGAAGUAAGAAAACCUGCAUUCUGUUCCUGUACUUGGUACUCACUUCCCCAGGGUCUUUUAGGGAUACAAAUAAUGAAACAGCAGGAGAUUGUAAGCAAGAAGACACAAACUUCCUUCUAAAACAUCGGACAAGAUUGGGAUGUUCUACAAACUAACAGAGAGUGAAAUUCAGGAAAGAUGACAUUGGCAAACAAAAAUCUUUAUGCAAACUCAAUAUCAAAAAAUCUAGCUACCUAUAAUUUGCCUCAAAAAUGCCUGAAGUGAAAUGUAGGAACUAUAAACAAGACUGAUGAAAAAUAAAUUGUAGAAUUUGCAGGUGCUGGUCUAGGUGCAAUCAGACCUCAAACACAUUCAGAUUUAAUAUCAAAUUUCUUGAUGCAAAAUAUUCCCCAAGGGAAGAUGAGAAAACCUUAGUAUAUUAAAAUAAAAAAAUAUUGUCUUUAUUAUAAGGGCAAAUGAUACUUGCACAUAUAGAAUCUUAUUGGAAGUUAUUAUUUUCCCCAAAUAUCAGGGUUUCUAAUGCCUAUCUCAGGGUAAUGAUUUUGCUCUCAUUUCUAAAGUUUACCAAACACAUUACAAAUUAUCUUGAAUGGGCUGUAGUGUGGGAAGAUGAAGGCAAGAUACUAUUAUUUUUUUCAGGUAUUGACCAAGAAAUAGACAAAGAUAUGUUGAGUGAUAUUUUCAAGAUCAUAUGUUAGACUUUUGCUUCUAGCUAAGAUAAAAUAGUUUGCACUAGACCAAUUAUUCUGGGAAGAACAAAUAGAAAACUCAGAUAAAAUGUAAAGAAAAACAGCAAUAACAACAGCUGUCUGACUGAAGGCAUUGGAAAAUGACUGAAGCAACCAGGAAUUGAAGGGCCAAGAUCAAGCAGAGUCAAGAAAAGGGAACCACAGAGAGCUGAGAUGAUGUUCUUCAAACAGCUUUUCCCCUCAAGGCAAUUGCUAGUUUUUGGCUUGGAAUUAGAGGCUAACAAUCUACCCAGAGAGCUGUGGCUGAUAAGCAGAGAAACAAAGUUUCUGGAAAUCUCACAAGGGUGCAGACAAAAAAGGGAAAAAAAAAAAUUGAGAGCAAAGGGGAGGUUGGGAGAUUGACUGGCCAAAGUAUCCAAAACUUGAAGUAACAGAAUCCUGAAGAGAAGGAAAGCAUGGAGAAGCACAUUAGAUACCUCAUUUUCUCCCAUCGGCAUAUGCUAAAUCCUUAAACUGCUAAGGACAAGAAGCGAGGCAGGAAAUCACAGAAAAUCAGAGGAGUUUUGGCCUACUCACAGAGUUGAAGAGACAAAAAUAGGAGAAUACAACCUGACAAGGAGAAGCCCAAGUCAAUACUCUAUGCUCAGGAGGGACUCCUGGGAGCCAUACCACUGUUGAGGAGCUAACCAGAAGUAUAUGUAACUUUCCAGACUUCAACCCAGCCUCAAAUCUGUUCAGUUGCUAACUGAAUCAAAGUGAUCAACUCCUUCCCUGAAUACAUAUGAAAAGAGAGGGUAAGCCCCCUCAAAGGAAGAGAGUGCCUCCACAGUCUUUCAUAUAGAAUAUAUAGCAUUCAAUCAAAAAUUAUGGUCCUAUCAAGGAAAAGAACCAAGAGGAAAAAAACAGCAAGAGAAGGGAGAUUACAUGCCUCUUCAUUUAGGGUUAGAAGGACCCCAGAAAUAUUAAACUAACUUAUAAGAUUCAGCAAGCUUUUCUCCUUAAAGUUAAGUAUGUCUGCUUUAAGAAAAUGGAUAUCUGACCCCAGGUAAUAUUUUAUUUUUUGGAACCCUGCUGAAUUGGGAGUAAGCGUUCUUUCAGGCCAAAGAAAGUCCUAUGAGAUGUUUCUUGAGACAAGUAUAUUGGUUGAGAGCUAAACAGCUGUCCCUCAAGUAAGCAUCUAGAGAUAUGGAGAUAUCCAGGAGAACCAGGGGAAAUGAAGAGAAAUGCUACUUUUCACUUCUAGUUAUAAAGAAUGUAUGACUUGUUUGUGUAACUUGUUUUUAUAAGCCUACCUGGAAUAUAGGGGACCUACGGGAUAGUACUUCCAAUAGGCAGUGAAUACUCCGUAUAAAUAUGGACCUCCUCCUUCUCAAAAAUAAGUAACGCCAGUUGUUUCUAUCCUGCUUCCUCACGGGUCUCUCUCCAAGACCCUGUUCCCAGAUUCUUGGUCAUGAAGUCACUACCUAUGGGAUAUCACCUGCUACAAGGUGUUAACCCUCCAGACCACUGAGUACCUGGUAGUCACCAAACCUGAUUGACCGUUCACUGCCUGGCUGUCCUUAGAAGGAGGCACAAUGCACUCCCAAGACCUGUAUCUUUCCAUGCCCUACCAACGAGUGCAUAACAUUUCUAAGUUUUUAUCACUGCUAGUCUGUCUCACUGUAUCUACUACCUCUUAAGCCUGAAACAUCAAACUCAGUGUGCAUGUGUAUAUAUGUGCAUGUGUGCGUGCAUUUGUACUCAGAGAAUAAUACGGUAGAAAAGACCUGAACUAAUUAGUGCAUAUACUUUCGACCUUCCUUUUUAUAUCCUGCGGAUUCCGUGGAAUCACUUCAAGGUUAGGGGAGGAGAUGAGGAAACCCAAGGGGCUUCAGGUCCUCCCAAAGCCCCACAAUCAGUACAGCUUCCUGACAAUCAGAUUUAUAUAUUGACUUUUAUAGUAAGCAUGCUUUUGAGGAAAGGGUACUCUCACUGUAAAAAGGCGGGUAGUGUUGAAAACCAGAUAUUUACUUCAAUCCCCUUUGUUCUACAGAAGAGUGAAUCAAGAAGAAAUGAAGGUUGUCCCACAAUCACAUAGCUAUUUAGCUAGAUUUGGAAGUACAGCUGAGGUUGCUUGAUUCCCAAGUGUGCGUUUUCUAUGUACCAUCCAGCAGGGAGAAAGGGGGAAAAAAAAACAUACUGUGUGCUUAUUGCAUGUGUUAGUGAUCAGGAUAUGUCUUGAUGACAAUCUAGGGUUUAAGUGGCAAACAAAAAUGUGGGAGUGGAAUGUCCCAUUCUAUAAUGUGUCCCAAACACAUUUCAGGAAAAUCAGAGAGUAAGCAAAGGGUUGAAGUCCUGGGCUAAGGGAGAUUCUUUCUAGACAUGUUUGGUAAGCCACAGCCUACAUCUCAUAGCAUAAAGAAGCUGCACGAAUCCUAAAGAGCCCUUAAAGGAAGUUCCCCACUGGGAACAUAAUGAAGAUGCACCGUAUAAACUAGCAGCAUUUGGAGUUUUCUGCAUCUCGGUUAUUUGUUAGGAGUGUCCAUAGGAUUGUGGCAAGGCUUAUGAACAGAAUGUCAGCUUUAUCUUAUCAAUAUCAUUCUAGUGAAGAAAGCUGCCAAAGUCCAGUGGAAGGGUCUUACUAAUCAGAAUCUUUGCAUAUCCAGCCUUGCAGAAUCAAACCGUGAAGGGUUCUCCUGAGUUUUAGAUCUUUAUUUUGUUGGCAAUCAUGGAUACAUAUUAGAAUCACCUAGGGAGUCUUAACUAUACUGAUGCCCAGGCUCGACCCAGAAGAAUUACGAAUUUCUGCAGCAGAUACUACCUUUACCUCCCAUCUACCAAAAACAGCCAAACCUCUCAUUCAGAAGACACAUAUGUUUCUCCACCACGGGUAAACAAGAGAACUUUACCACACACUAUUGGUCUUUAUGAGGCCCUAAUAGAAUCCUUCUCACAGCUUGUGUCCACCUAUAAGGGGAAAGGAGACCCUCCUGGGAACAGAUCUUCCUUCUUGACUGAAUCCAUGUUUAGCUCUUGCAUUUUCCAAAGAUACGGCUGCUCUCAAUAGCUGCAAUGGCCAAAAGAAACUCACCACACCUCUGCUGGCCCCGGCGAAUGUUUAAGUGCUGCCGGCCCUGUAAAUAAUAUCUAAUCCUCGAUAUCCCUGGUUCCUCUGAGUUAACAGGAGCUGACUGAGGACCUGCUCCGUGUGGGUGGGGGGCUUGCGGAAUUAGAGUUUGUCAGAGGCAAGUGGGACAAUGGGAUGAUACUAAUUCCAGGAGUCAGGAAUGAUGAAGUCUGGUCCCAGCUUCAUCAAUCAUGUGCAUGGGACUAAGGGCAAGGGUCUAUUUCCACAUUCCUACAACAGAAUGAUCUCCAAGGAAAGCACAAUGGGAAAGGGAGGGUUUGGCAUUUCUGCAGCUAGAAGUCCAAAUAGGAAAACAACUGGAGCACAAAGGAAAUUACGGGUUUCCCUUGCUGUCCAGAAGUGGAGCAUCCCUAUGAAACUUUUCCCAAGUUGAAACGGCAGCAAGCAAAGAAAGUAAUUACCAUUAAUUCCCAUAGAAACAAUUUCGAGCAUUCUCAGGCCCCAAACAUAACCUUUCUUAGACUUUGCAGAUACCUUAGGCCACAUCUUGUUAACGGACACGCAAAAUAAAUUGAGAUAAAGCACAGAUGGUCACAGACACGGUUCGAAGCUAUGGCGGCUUGAUGCUGAGGCGUUGAGUGCAGUUUCAGGGGAGGGGGCUUGGAAGCGCCAUUCUCACUGCCCUGGGCACGCUGCCUCUGAAACAGCUCUCUGCAAAACAGGCGCUGAACGUUCUUUUGGCUUUUCGCCUUUUUUUGUAAAAGCAAAAAUCCUCUUUGGAUUUCUUUCGGUUAGCAGAAACAGGUCCUAUCAGUUCUCUUGUAAAAGUGAGUGGUGUAACGCGAGCUUUUGGGAAGUGGGGGGACACCUGUUUUUGAGAAGAGUCACGGGACAACAUUUGCAAAAUUGAAAAGCACUCUCUUCGAUGCCUUAAAAAUGAAUCAAGUAGACGAUUGUGAUCAAUAUGAACAAUAAUAUCAGAAAUUCCAAAAAAAAGAGAGAAAUGAAUAAAGUAAUAGCUAUAUUAAAGGGGUGGUAUAUCAAACAAGAAUUGAGGGCUCUGAAGAGACGGCGAUUAAUAUUUGGAUCGCUCAUUGCACGUGGAAGAAUUGAAGGUCCCCACUUCCUGAACACGCAGACCCUUUGUUCUCCAUAUGCUGUGUCUCUGUUCCAUGCACCCGCUUCUCAUCAAAAGUAUUCAGAGUGCCCAAAUCUUGGAGAACUGGGAUGAUUUUGCAUCUAACCAUUUCCAACUUGGAUCCUCUGGGAAACGAAAUUCUAAAGGGAGAUUUAGUCCAACUGAAGCCCCCACAGGGAAAGCUUGCGGGACGCCAGCUUCGGCUUUUCAGAGCACCCUCGGUAAUGCUGAGAACGGCAGGCAACCAUCAAGAGGAGACAAAGAGCCAAAUGUGUUUCACAGAUACAUCCACCCUGUGAACGUGCCAGUGAAUGUCUGGAGAUGUCCCUGACAGCACGGCCUGCUCCAUCACGGACCCGAGGAAGCCCAAUCACUUGAGAGAGCUAAAACUGGCCAGAGAGGAGGCCGACACACAUCCUUCGUGCCCCGCGCCGUUCUGACAGGGAAAACCCACAGCGUGUCCUCAUCCAGAAGGUCUUUUCCUCUGCGGGUAUCUGGGGAUCUGCGGGCUGGGAGCUUCCUAGGAGGAACAGAAGGACGGGUCUGUGCAUGUUCACACAUCUCAUUUCAUUCAUUCACACUUCAAAAGGCUCCAGAUUCUGUUAAAAUUUUAGCUCCCUCUUAUUCUCAGUCCAUUUUUGAAGCUGGCACCAGUAUGCCUGCGUUCCAGGUAUAAUAUAUAGCUCCCCACCGCCUCCCACUUCCAAGCCUUGCUACCAAGAAUGCCACUCACAUUUUCCUCCUUUCAACACAAACAUGAUGCUUUUCAUGCUUCCCUUUGCAAAUGAUGGAUGGAAGCUGAGCUAAAUAUGGAGACAGGGGCUACUGACACAUCUUGUUCCUAUUAAACGUUCUACUUCUGUGUCAUUCCCCUCCUCGGCUUUCACAUUAACUCGCUUCCUUCCCGGUAUCCAAAGAGUAGGUGCCUGUGAUUGGAGUCCUGGAAGUGAAGAGCUAGACUCCAUAUUCUAGAUCUAUCUUUAGGUGUAAAGAGUGUCUCUAUCUGUAAAUUUUUAUUUUAUUUUAUUUUAUUUUAUUUUAUUUUAUUUUAUUUUAUUUAGGAUGGAGUAAAUCACCUGUCACUUCUGUGGUCUAAGAUAAACACGCUCCUUGAAAUCUGGGACACGUGGGGGUUUUUUGUCGACCGAUGAGACGAAGUGGGUUGUGAAAACGGCACUUCUGAAACACCAAGGUUUAAAAUUCUUCUUUAACGUUCAACAAGCUAACAGUGAGAUUUUGUAAAAACCCACGAAUAGUGACAAAAAGUUGAGCCUAGGCUUUGGAGAUGAGCACAACCAGCUUGGUCUCCUGUUUCUGCCUCUCACUGCCCGGUGACCCUCGUGUAUACUUAGAAUGCCUCAGUUUCCCAGUCAGGUUUCCCACAUCACAUCUGAGUGUCAUGUCUCUUUAAUCUCCUUUAAUGUAAGACAACUGCCUUGUACUUUUAAAAAAUUCAUUGCUGUUGUCUGUCUUGACAUUGACCUUUUUGAGUAACUCGGGACAAUUGUUUUGGAGAAUGUCCUACAUUCUGAAUUUGUACUAUUAUGUCCUCAUGAUUAAAUUCAUAUUUAAAAUGCUUGGCGGGGCUCCUGGGUGGCUCAGUCAGUUAAGU